UCUGCAUUUUUCUGAGAUGGCAUCAAGAGGCUGCAAGCAUCCGGCAGACGCAUUUUGCUAUGUAUGCGGCCAAUUUAUCAAGACAAGAGCGAAAAAGUACUCUGUGUGAGCAUCUGCUUCGAUGUGUGAGGCCUACAAGGCAUAUUUCAGCAUGCCUGUCGGGGAUCAAGACAAACCCUGGGCACCUCAUUUCACCUGCGAGCAAUGCAAAAAAAAACUCUGGAAGGAUGGUACAAAUGGGAAAAUAGAGCCAUCAAGUUCGCUAUUCCAAGAAUUUGGCGGGAACUCACUGACCACUUAAGCAACUGCUACUUCUGCAUGGUGGACCCUUCUAAACAUCGGACUGGCAAGAAUGCACCUGCUAUCACGUAUCACCUUCCUUCAUCCAUCACCCCGGUGCCACACUGUCAUUAGCUCCUCGUACCCACUCCUCCGGAGAGAUAGCAGCCGUCUUUAGAAGAGAGUAGCAAGUCAGAGAGCGAGGAAGACGUUGUAGAUCCAGGUGACAAUUUCAGAGUUGUAGCUGAGGAGAGAAACCCAUACUACCUCAACCAAAAAGACAUCAACGAUUUGAUCAGAGAUCUUGGUCUCAACAAGUCCAAUGCCGAGCUUUUGACGUCUAGGCUCAAGCAGUGGAACUUGUUGGAUGAAAGUGUGCAAGUCGCAGAUCAGAGGAAGCGUCACCAACCUUUUUGCAGCUUCUUCACCCGUCAAGAUGGGCUCUGCUUCUCCCACAAUGUGACCAGUUUGUUCGAGGCAAUCGGAAUCGCCUGUAACCAGAAUUAGUGGCGCCUCUUCAUUGACAGCUUAUCCAUGAGCCUCAAAGUUAUGCUGCUCCAAAAUGGUAACAAGUACCCGUCUCUUCCCCUGGCUCACUCGGUGCACCUCAAAUAGGAUUACAACAGCAUCAAGACGUAUGAUGAGUGCGGCUGGGAGGUCAUCGGAGACUUCAAAAUGUUGGCAUUCCUGAUGGGUCUCCAAGGCAGUUUUACCAAGUUUCCCUGCUAUCUUUGCCUUUGGGAUAGCAGGGACACCAAGGCGCACUACCACAGGCGGGACUGGCCACAGCGGAUCAAGUUCUCUGUGGGGAGGAACAACGUCAAGUGGGAGCCACUGGUGGACCCCCGGAAGGUGCUGAUGCCACCACUGCACAUCAAAUUGGGCCUUAUGCAACAAGAGCUGUAGACAAGGAGUCGGCAGCCUUCAAGUACCUUCAAGACUUCUUCCCCAAGCUGUCUGAGGCAAAGAUCAAAGCCAGUGUCUUCGUCGGACCACAGAUAAAGAAGAUCCUGGAGUGCAAUGAAUUCGCCAAGAUGCUCACUAGUAAGAAGAAAGCGGCUUGGAACAGCUUUGUCGCAGUGGUUUCCUGGGCAAUCACAAGGUCGAAAACUAUGUGGAGCUGGUUGAGAAUGGUGAAGAACUAUGGCACAAUGGGUUGUAGGAUGUCCCUCAAAGUCCAUAUCCUUGAUGCUCAUCUUGAUAAAUUCAAGGAGAACAUGGGAGCGUACUCGGAGGAGCAAGGUGAGCGCUUCCACCAGCAUAUACUGGAUUUUGAACGGCGCUACCAAGGACAGUAUAACGAGAACAUGAUGGGAGACUACAUUUGGGGGCUGAUUCGUGAAAGUGAUUUGCAUUAUAAUCGUAAAUCUGGAGAAACUACUCACUUCUAAUCUUUUGUAGUCAUUUUUUUUUACUUUAGUAUAAAUACAUGUUAAUUUUGAUUCAUAUGUUGUUUUUUUCUGACUUUAUGUGAACGAAAAGACAAAAAUUCGCCCGUUUUCUCAUUGAAAAUAGGUUAAUUUCAAAAUAUCACUGUCCUGGUCACAAAAGCAAAGUUUGUGGGGAAUAAUAGCCAUUUUCGAUACUUUUUAGGCAUAAGCAAUUACGAAAUAAGCACUUACUACCCAGGAACAAAAAUUGUGUUACAUAGUGUAACCAUUACUCCAAUGGAGCAGCAUUCAUUUCACUUUCACCAUGCCGCUUUAAAACCCCAGAUUGUUCAUUCCCAUCUGGCAGCACGCUUCAUCUUCGCAGUAUCAACGAAAAUAAGACGGCUAAUAUAAAAAAAAAUCCCAUAAGAGCCAUGCAGGACGUAUAUAGUCUAUCGAUGUCCUGUCUUCAUAUCCGAUUGUGUGUGUUGCCAGGGGCAAUGUUUUAGCACGCUUGUCCCUGCAUCAAAGGCUCUGCCUGCUUAUAAUCUCAAUCCCAGCCAAGAGUACUGGGUGGCGGGCAUGGCUACAGAGGGAUUGCUAAUCCCCGUUGCUUCCCAAGCCCACGUGCAGACUUUGAACGAGUCCGCAACUCUCCCCCUAGCAUUCUUUAGGUCAUUGCGUACCAGCAGAGUUCGGUGAUCGAUCGACGAAAUAUGUGCGCUUCUACUUCUUGUUGUUCUGCACCCGUGUCUGAGAAUUAUGUAUGCCCACAUAUUGUUUUAUGCGAGAGAAGGAAUAUAUAUGUAUAUACUCAAAUAUCUACACCAAUAUUUGGGAUUGUUCAGGAAUAAUAACAAUUGUUUUCACUUGUAACGCACGCCGCACAGUAUCCACUUGCUCUCACAGAGAGAGAACGACUUCAAAGGGGAGGAGGAACCACAGACAGGUGGGAAGGCAGCAGCAGCCGCACGGUGGGUAAACGCCACCAACAAUUGCCGAUGCUCUGCUGUCCUCUAUAUAUAAAGGUGUUAUCGGCCAAUUAAUGAGUGUUUACAUGUUGGCGGGAAACCGUAGCACCAGGAGAAAAGCCCACAUGUACAAAGGGGGAAUCACUGUCCCAUACAGACGGAACAGGAGCAGUCUACUUGCUGUACUGCUUUCUCCUGGCGAGCCAGAGGACGGCCAGGGGAAGGGAAUUUCACAACAUUUGUGCGAUCCAUAUUCUUGGUUCUUUCGGUAAAG